ensembl:snRNA U1 U1 spliceosomal RNA
AAACCCAAGGAUUUAAUGACACCAUGAUCACGAAGGUGGUUUUCCCAGGGUGAGGCUCAUCCAUUGCACUCCGGGUGUGCUGACUCCUGCGAUUUCCCCAAAUGCGGAAAACUCCAAAUUGUGAUUGUCUUUAGAAGCUAUUCCAAACAUUAAGGC